UGUGCCUACGGGGCGCAGCAGUGGGGGAUAUUGCACAAUGGGGGAAACCCUGAUGCAGCGACGCCGCGUGAGUGAAGAAGUACUUCGGUACGUAAAGCUCUAUCAGCAGGGAAGAAAAAUGACGGUACCUGACUAAGAAGCCCCGGCUAACUACGUGCCAGCAGCCGCGGUAAUACGUAGGGGGCAAGCGUUAUCCGGAUUUACUGGGAGUAAAGGGAGCGUAGACGGCUGGGAAAGUCUGAAGUGAAAUGCGGUGGCCCAAC
rnacentral:rRNA from 1 species